rnacentral:rRNA from 1 species
AUUUUGGACAAUGGGUGCAACCCUGAUCCAGCCAUCCCGCGUGUGCGAUGAAGGCCUUAGGGUUGUAAAGCACUUUUGGCAGGGAAGAAAAGGCGCCGGAUAAUACCUGGCGCCGCUGACGGUACCUGCAGAAUAAGCACCUGCUACCUACGUGCUAGGAGCCGCGGUAAGACGUAGGGUGCAAGUGUUAACCGGAAUUACUGGGCGUAAAGCGUGCGCAGGCGGUUCGGAAAGAAAGAUGUGAAAUCCCAGGGCUUAACCUUGGAACUGCAUUUUUAACUGCCGGGCUAGAGUAUGUCAGAGGGGGGUAGAAUUCCACGUGUAGCAGUGAAAUGCGUAGAGAUGUGGAGGAAUACCGAUGGCGAAGGCAGCCCCCUGGGAUAAUACUGACGCUCAUGCACGAGAGCGUGGGGAGCAAACA